AAUGAAUACAUCGACCAGAUCGAAAACCUCUGCCGCUCACGCGCCCUCCAAGCCUUCCACCUCGACGCCCAAUCCUGGGGCGUCAACGUCCAGCCCUACUCCGGCUCCCCGGCCAACUUCGCCGCCUACACCGCCGUCCUCAACCCCCACGACCGCAUCAUGGGGCUAGAUCUCCCCUCCGGCGGCCACCUCACCCACGGCUACUACACCUCCGGCGGAAAGAAGAUCUCCGCCACCUCCAUUUACUUCGAGAGUCUCCCUUACAAGGUAAACUCCACCACCGGCUACAUCGACUACGACCGCUUGGAAGAAAAAGCCCUAGACUUCAGGCCAAAACUCAUAAUCUGCGGUGGCAGCGCGUACCCUCGCGAUUGGGA
rnacentral:lncRNA from 1 species